CCCGGACGCAGCAGCUCCCACCAGCAAGGUCAGGCCCAGCGUCCGCCUGUCCGGUCCAGGAGUCGCCGUGACAGGAGCCACAGGACAACAUCAAGCGCUGAGAGGCCCAGGCCAAGGGAGACGUCGUCAGGGACAUCCCCCAGACGCAGCCGCUCCCGCCUGCAGCGCCGGGCCUGGAAUCAACCUGUCCUGUCCAGGAGUCGCCAGGACAGGAGCAGCAGGACAGCAGCAAGGGCUCAGAGGCCCAGGCGCAGUGGGGCACCGUCAGGGGUGUCCCGCAGGAGCAACCGCUCCUGUCUGCGACGUCGGGCCUCAACUGGGACCUCCAACAGCAGCACGUAGUGUCAUCUUUUCUUUCUUUCCAUCUGUUCGCCGCCGGAAGUGAAGUAAAGCCAAAAGGAAGAAGAGAGAAGAGAGUGACACACUGCCUCAAAUGCCUGAAGAAAUCGAUUGCUGUAUUGCUGCCGAUUUAAAAAACUUGCUUGGACCUUGAAAGAACAAACCAGAAAAGACUGUGGAAAUACCCUGGGACAAAGAGGACGCGCAGGACUCUGCCCCAGAUGACCAUUUGGGACCUUUGCCUGAGAACGACGCAGCUCAGGAGCCGAGUGCUUUCAAGUUUUCCUUCUUUGGAGACACAGAGGACUUGUGCAUCAAAGAAGAUAAAAUGAGGCCUUGUGAAAAGAAGAUGAAACAACAUUAAAUCGAGUCACAGUCCUGAAGGAGAGAAGAGAAACUGUGUGCAGUUAUGCCAAAUAUUAAAAAAAAGAAACCAAUGCAACAAGACAAAGCAACCAGCCUCCCACACUUGUGCUGAAUUCAGAAGGAAUUCAGUGUCUUCUGAAUGCAAUGAUAAAUGCUUAUGAAUACAGAAGAGAUCCCUAGAACAAACUGGAAAAUCCUGGAGGAGAGAUGUAGCUCAGAA